AAGACGACGAAGAAGGUCAUACGGGCACCACUCGGAAAACCUAGAAAGGACAAGCCGUUUGACUCACAAGUACCACCAUGUGCAUCUGCGAGACAGCCUUCGAGAUAACUGUGCUCGGGAUUUGCUCCCUGAUGGCUUCAGGGGGCAGUUACAGGAGUGGAAGGUCCUGCGUGUACAGUAUGAAAACAAGACUGCUGAAAGAAUAGGCCAUACGUCUCAGCCGAGAACCAGAUCAAGAAUUUUGUUCUUUUGAAGGCAUCUCUCGGCCGUCUCAUAACAGGGCCGGGCGGCACAGAGGCUCUGUGCAACUGCAUCUACUACGCUGUCUCAGUGGGCAUGGCGGUGGUCCUGAUAAUUGGCAUCGUUC